ACACGUGGGGCCCGUCCGGCUGCGGAGAGCAAGAACACGCGGGGGUGGGGCAGAAACGGACAAAGACUGGGGAGCACGGGGACAGAGCUAAGGGACACUAAAGCACUCAGCAGAGAAGAGACUUUGGGUUUGCUCUCUGUGGAAACACAUCCAGCCUCUGAACCCUCCGAGGACCAGGUACUCGUGGCUGGAGAGCCUGUCUCUGAGACUCUUCCUAUGAUUACAUAGCCCUGAUGUGCUAGAAGCAAAGGGUAAACUAGAGAUGGGAGGACUCCACUGAGCAUCACCUGAAAGAGAGCCCCAAAGCCCAACUCCCAGCAUGUUGUUGCCCAAGCCCAGAACUCCCAGGUCAGAAAACAUGCUUCAAGCACCAGAAAGGAGCCAUGCCAGUAUAAUAGAGCCACAGUCAGGAUCCCACCAGAUAGCAGCCACUACACUACAGGAGUGGAAGGCUUCAAAAAUGACAUUGGGAUUUCUACCAACAAUAACCUAUCGAGCAAAACAGUAUAAGCCUCCCCCCACCCCCACCCCCCCAAUGGAGAAAACUGCAACCCAAUGGAUAUUUAAGGAGAUUGAGGACUUGCAAGCAUUCCUGAUGAAAAGACCCGAGCUGAAGAGAAAAGUUGACUUUGACCUGCAGGACUCAGGAGAAGCAUCAAAAGGGCCCAACUUUGGACACUCCUCUCCAUUCUGAAGCCAUGGCUAGGGCCCCCAGCCAAGCUGUUCGUCAAAUGCUCUCUGGUGGCUGGUGGCUACAGACUACAUCUGCUCCCUCUGCCCUGAAACUGAAAUCUGGGACUCUGCUCUCUUGAAAGUGCUACAGCCAGCAAGAUCCCUACUCCUAUGGUACUGCAUUCACCAGGUAUGUGCUCAUUUCUUCUCUCUAGCUGCAGCCUGGGACCAUAUCUUAUCAGUUUACAUGUGUUUCCCAUUUCUUGACAAUGGAAGGUCCUUCAGUCUUCUACUCAGCCUUUGGACUAGCACACUGUUUUUGAGGUGAAAGUUCUUGAGGCUGAGUCUGCCUUCCAACCCAACCGCCCCCGGGACUUGUUUAUAGAUUCUAUGGAGUGUCGGAGAUGUUUGCUCUUCACUUAGGCCGAACUUCCCUUGAGGAAGUCUUUCCUGGGGUCUUCUCAUGUUGUCUUAGGACAGCUGCUUUACCCUGAUUAUUGUUAAUAUCUGCUGUUUUAUGUUCCUUCUGAAACAUUGUUCUUUUUGUGUGUGUGUGUGUGGAAGAAAUUUGAAGUGCUGAAAGUUUUCUCAGUUAUUUUGUCAUCUCCAUCAGAUUUAAUUCUUGCCUUGAAUCUUGAGGGUUUCUAUGGACAUACUUGUCCCCACUCUGCCUCCAUCACCAUCCCACAAUGCUAUACACCUUGCCUCCACAGCUCUCAAGGCUCAGGUCCUGGAAGGCAAAAAUUGAAUGAAUGAAAUAUGGCCAUUUUCUUUUUGUAUUAUGAGCUUGCUGGUCAUCAUCAAACUCACAAUUCAAAUCCAGAGAAAAGAUCAUGAACUUAUGUCAUGUGCAGUUUUUCUGUGUUUAUUAACUUAGUAACAAAAUGACUAUUUUGUUUCUGUGCCCUCUUCAGAACUUAUUUUUGUAAUUUGAUGCUAUGUUUCUUGGGGUAUAAUAGCAUAGAAGCACUGAACCCCCACAAUAUAUUGGGCUUCCAGGAUUUGAUGUGAAUUAUCUCCUCCUGUCAGGAAGAAGUCCAAAUAUUAUCAGAUAUAACCAAUUCCCAAACUAUUCUGAUUGAGGGAUCAUGAAGGUGGAACUCUUUUUUUCUAUCCCUCCAACCUCUGUGCAUCUUCAAACAACCUUAUUGAAAUAAAUAAGUAAAAUGGAAUAUAUACAUUUUAAAAUUGAGUCAAUAUGUAGCCCCCAAGGAGCUUUAUGCAUAGAUUAAUAGUCCUACAAUUCUAUCUGAGUUUGACCCUAAUGAUGUGGUUCUAGUACCAGAAUGUUGACAGACACCAAAAGUUGGGCUUCCGUCAUGUGAAGAAUUCACCCUGGCCAUUCUCUUUGACAAAAAGUAGAUUGAUUUAGGGAAAUAGGUUAUGGACAAAAUGAAGGGAUACAAUAGGCACUGGAAAUGGUAGAUAUGAAAGAGAGUGGCAGAGCCUAUGAAAGAGAAGUUCCUCAGUGGGACUCACAAGUACCCAGCAGAAGGGGAGCCCCCCAUGAGAUUGGGGCUUGCCCUUAGCUGGCAGGGUGAAGGGGACUUAGCGCCCCAAAAGCCUUAGUUGUAGGGAAGAGAAGUGGGGCUGGCAAGCAGAGUGGAGUUAGGAGAUACCAUGUGGCAUGGGGGAGGGGUAAGUGAGUAUGGCAUGGGCCUAAGUAGAUUUUAUAAGGAAAACUUACCGUCAGGGACAUGACUGAGAUUUCUACAGAGUCGGGUGAGCCUCAGGAUUUCAGACUGGAGAACCUCUCCAGGGGCUGGGGCCACAAAGCUAAACUGACCUCUCUCAGAGCCUCCUGCCUGCCUGCCUGCUGCCUGCCUCGGGGAUCAAUUUUUGUUUCUCUUGGUUCAAAACCACAUCCAGGACCUCACCAUUCCCCACUCUUUUAAUUUAUUAUCAAAAUCUUUUGAAGAGUGGCUCGGGGGUCCCUAAACAGAAGGGGGUCUAUUAGACCGAAGCCAAGUUUUAGGGGCCAAAUCCACACUUGUGUCAAAAACGGGAGUGAAUU